UGCCAGCAGCCGCGGUAAUACGUAGGUGGCGAGCGUUAUUCGGAUUUACUGGGCGUAAAGGGUCCGUAGGGGGAUAUAUAAGUUUGAUGUGAAAUUUCGAGGCUCAACCUCGAACCUGCAUUGAAAACUGUGUAUCUAGAAUUCGGUAGAGGUAAGUGGAAUUUGUGGUGUAGCGGUGGAAUGCGUAGAUAUCACAAGGAACAUCAAAGGCGAAAGCAGCUUACUGGGCCGAUAUUGACCCUGAGGGACGAAAGCUAAGGUAGCGAAAAGGAUUAGAUA
rnacentral:rRNA from 1 species